UGAAUUGCAGAACUCCGUGAACCAAUGGCCUCUUGAACGUGCAUUGCGCUCUUGGGAUAUGCCUGAGAGCAUGUCUGCUUCAGUGCUUCUACUUUCAUUUUCUGCUGCUCUUGUUAUCGGGAGCAGUGUUGCUGCAUGCUUCUGCAAAAGGCACUGGCAUGCUAAGUAUCAAGUUUUGCUUGCUGUUCUGACUGAUCAACAUCUCAUGUCGUUUCAGUUGGCGAAACAAAAGCUGAAGUGUGUUCUUAACACUUCCUAGCAUGAAGUCAGACAAGUGAACCCGCUGAACUUAAGCAUAUGGAUCCCCCCA
rnacentral:rRNA from 1 species